UACGUAGGGGGGCAAGCGUUGUCCGGAUUUAUUGGGCGUAAAGAGCGUGUAGGCGGCCAGAUAGGUCAGCUGUGAAAACUCGAGGCUCAACCUCGAGAUGUCGGCUGAAACCAUCUGGCUAGAGUCCGGAAGAGGAGAAUGGAAUUCCCGGUGUAGCGGUGAAAUGCGCAGAUAUCGGGAAGAACACCGGUGGCGAAGGCGGCUCUCUGGGCCUUACCUGACGCUGAGGAGCGAAAGCGUGGGUAGCGAACAGG
rnacentral:rRNA from 1 species